UGCAGCACUCUUUCUCUUUGUUUUGGGUUUCUCUUGGUGAAGCCUUAGGAGGAAGAAGCUUCACCUGGUUUCUAGGUGACGCCCCUUUGGUGGAGCUUCAUCCUACUGUAACCCCUUUUCCAUCAAUAUCUUUUUCUCUCUAAAACUUAUUGCACCAGCACGAUGGAUGAAGAAUGGAAGCCAAUGGAGGGUUCUAGAGGUUGUAUGAAGUCUCUAAUUCGGGAUUGAAGAGAACCACACCCAUUUCUAGCUCAAAAGGUUCAACUUUCUUUGUGCAUCCUACAACCAGCUCAAAAGGAAAGCAAGAAACAUCAAUGAGGAUGAAGAACUGUCCUUGUUAAAGAUUGGAGUAGCUUUGAAGAUUAAGUCAUCAAGCAUCUUCAAGAGAGCUGCCUCCAUUUUAGAUUUUGGAUUUUAAUUUCUUGUAUUAGUAUUUUGUUGUAUUUUAAAGACAUUUGUGUGCUAAUUGGAAAGGGUUCAUGCAAUACCAUUGAACAUUGAAUUAUCUUGUGGAUUUUUAAUUUCAUGUAAUAGAAGUAUCUCAAUUGAGUAAA